GAUGAACGCUGGCGGCGUGCCUAAUACAUGCAAGUCGAGCGAGUGGAUUAAGAGCUUGCUCUUAUGAAGUUAGCGGCGGACGGGUGAGUAACACGUGGGUAACCUGCCCAUAAGACUGGGAUAACUCCGGGAAACCGGGGCUAAUACCGGAUAACAUUUUGAACCGCAUGGUUCGAAAUUGAAAGGCGGCUCCGGCUGUCACUUAUGGAUGGACCCGCGUCGCAUUAGCUAGUUGGUGAGGUAACGGCUCACCGAGGCCACGAUGCGUAGCCGCGCUGAGAGGGUGAUCGGCCACACUGGGACUGAGACACGGCCCAGACUCCUACGGGAGGCAGCAGUAGGGAAUCUUCCGCAAUGGACGAAAGUCUGACGGAGCAACGCCGCGUGAGUGAUGAAGGCUUUCGGGUCGUAAAACUCUGUUGUUAGGGAAGAACAAGUGCUAGUUGAAUAAGCUGACACCUUGACGGUACCUAACCAGAAAGCCACGGCUAACUACGUGCCAGCCGCCGCCGUAA
rnacentral:rRNA from 1 species